UACACUUUAAAUCCUUUAACGAGGAUCUAUUGGAGGGCAAGUCUGGUGCCAGCAGCCGCGGUAAUUCCAGCUCCAAUAGCGUAUAUUAAAGUUGUUGCGGUUAAAAAGCUCGUAGUUGGAUCUCGGUUUCACUCAGGUGGUACACCUUGCGGUGUUCACUAUCUGGGUGGACGUUUCUGUUGGUUCGCUCUUGGUGCUCUUCAUCGGGUGCCAUUUGGUGGCCAGCACGUUUACUUUGAAAAAAUUGGAGUGCUCAAAGCAGGCGUUACAGCCUGAACAUUAGUGCAUGGAAUAAUGGAAUAGGAUCUCGAUUCUAUUUCGUUGGCUUUCGGAGUCGAGGUAAUGAUUAAUAGGGACAGACGGGGGCAUUCGUACUGCGACGUUAGAGGUGAAAUUCUUGGAUCGUCGCAAGACGAACUACUGCGAAAGCAUUUGCCAAGAAUGUUUUCAUUAAUCAAGAACGAAAGUUAGAGGUUCGAAGGCGAUCAGAUACCGCCCUAGUUCUAACCAUAAACGAUGCCAACCGGCGAUCCGUCGUCGUUAAUUGAAUGACUCGACGGGCAGCCUCCGGGAAACCAGAGUGUUUGGGUUCCGGGGGAAGUAUGGUUGCAAAGCUGAAACUUAAAGGAAUUGACGGAAGGGCACCACCAGGAGUGGAGCCUGCGGCUUAAUUUGACCCAACACGGGAAAUCUCACCAGGCCCGGACACCGGAAGGAUUGACAGAUUGAGAGCUCUUUCUUGAUUCGGUGGGUGGUGGUGCAUGGCCGUUCUUAGUUGGUGGAGCGAUUUGUCUGGUUAAUUCCGAUAACGAACGAGACUCUGGCCUACUAACUAGAAGGUCUAUCCUUUAUGGGUAGGCCUCUGCUUCUUAGAGGGACGGGCGGCGUUUAGCCGCACGAGAAUGAGCAAUAACAGGUCUGUGAUGCCCUUAGAUGUUCUGGGCUGCACGCGCGCUACACUGAAGGAAUCAGCAUGUUCUCCCCUCCCUGAAAUGGGCGGGUAACCCGUUGAAACUCCUUCGUGAUGGGGAUUGGAGAUUGUAAUUAUUCUCCAUGAACGAGGAAUUCCCAGUAGGCGCGAGUCAUCAGCUUGCGUCGAUUACGUCCCUGCCCUUUGUACACACCGCCCGUCGCUACUACCGAUCGAGUGAUUUAGUGAGGACUUCGGACUGGUCUUCAAGUUGGCUUCGGUCGGCUCGAAGUUCCGAAAGAUGCCCAAACUUGAUCACUUAGAGGAAGUAAAAGUCGUAACGAGGUUUCCGUAGGUGAACCUGCGGAAG
rnacentral:rRNA from 1 species